rnacentral:lncRNA from 1 species
CGCCGGGAGCCCGGGAUGUGGUCCACCAUGGCCGGGGUUUGGCACUUUGGCUGCUGCCAUCUCGGGGAUCGUCACACGGCCGUAGUUUUUUUUCUUUUUCUAAGACGAUCCGGGAAUCAAGCGACUCUUGGGUAGAUGGGACAUGGAAAGGUACAUUUAGCUAAGGGGUUGCUGGCAAAUUAGCAGGCCUAACUUGAACAUGAUGCGGGCGUCUCACCGCAAAUUUACCACGCUCCAAAUCCAAGACGUCAGAUGUGAAUUGGGUGACUGAAGGAUGUCGGAUGCAGGGAUACACGAA